rnacentral:lncRNA from 1 species
AAUAAUUCAAAAAAAAAAAUAAAUAAAUAAAUUCCAGGAUCAUACCAGUGUCAUCUCUGAUUUAAGGGUAGCUGGCAUUUCCUGCUGGCUCUUCUCCAGUAGUUUCCUUCCUUUUUAACACAGCUCUAGAGAUUUCAAAUUUUCAAAAUCGUGAAAUCUCUGAGUGUUUUUCAUGUCAGUCUUUUUGUCCUUUAACUCCUCACAGUGUCACCUACCUGGUAGUUCUUUCUCAGUUGUUGGCUUUUUUUCUUACCUAGGUAUGAGAGCUUAUGAUACUCUUACUUGAAUUUCUUAACUCCUAUUUGGUAACUUCAGCCCAUUUUUAAAGUGUUUGUUUUUAAUACAGAAGGAGGGGAUAAGUAUUUAAAGAGAACAAAGAAGGACCCACUUGACUUCUGUACAACGCAUAAACAUUUGACAGAUGGUAAAGGAAUUCUGUUGUACUUACUGUUUCCCUUUUUUCCCCCUCUUUUUCUUUUCCUCUAGUCCUCCUAGAACUCCAGUAAAAGUCGUGCCUCGAAUUAGAAUAGAACUUGAGCCUGAAGACAAUGAUUACUUCUGGAGGAGCAAGGGAACAGAAACUACAUUGUAACCUGUUUGUCUUUCUUAAAACUGACCUUUUUGUUGUUUAUGUCCUUGUUUUUUGUCUGAUUAUUUUAAAUUUUUGUUCUCUUUUGGUUUUUGGUCACUGGCCAAACACUACAGCUCUCUCUCUCUGCUUCUCUCUUGCAUAGGUAAAAUCCAGACAAUAGCGCACCAUUCCUUAAAAACAACAUCUGAAGAAUCGCUUUUUGUUCUUAUACUUUCAGAUACGUCCUCUGACAACCAAAUUCCUCUGUCACUCAAGACAUGCACAGACCCUGUCAUUUUCCUUUAUUAUGCAGAGGGCAAAAGUAUUAAGGAUUUUAUAACACCUUUUCUUAAAAUACUGAAGGAACUCCCAACAUUAGCUUUGGAGCUGUGCUUACUGGCUUGUGUUUCUGUCUGGUCGAACAAACCUUGACCUCCAGACAGUCCCUUCUCGCUUGUAUUGCUCUCCAGGACUGGAAAACGUGCUGCUAUUCUAACUUGCUCUCGCUUUUAAACCCUAAUCUUAGAAUUAUCAAAAGAAGGAAAACUAAAGGUACUUUAUUCCCAUUAGAGAAACUAUUGCCAUCAUUGUAGCAAGUGCUGGAAUGUCCCUUUUUUCCUAUGCAAACUUUUUUUAACCCUUUAAUGAACUUAUCUGUUGAGUACAUUGAAAAAUAUUUUUCUUCCUAGAUUUUGUUGUUUAAAUUAUGGGGCCUAACCUGCAACUUAUUUUUUGUCAAUUUUUUAAACUUUUUUUUAAUUACUGUAAAGAAAAUGAAUUUUUUCCUGCAGCAGGAAACAUA